AAUCAACGCUGGCGGCGUGCCUCAGACAUGCAAGUCGAACGCGAAAGUCUCCUUCGGGGGACAAGUAGAGUGGCGCACGGGUGAGUAACACGUAGGUAAUCUACCUUCGGAUGGGGAAUAACAACCGGAAACGGUUGCUAAUACCGCAUAAUGCAGCGGCACCUAAUGGUGACAGUUGUUAAAGCGGGGGAUCGAAAGACCUCGCGUCUGAAGAGGAGCCUGCGGCGGAUUAGCUAGNGGUAGGGUAGCGGCCUACCAAGGCGACGAUCCGUAGCCGGCCUGAGAGGGCGGUCGGCCACACUGACACUGACAUACGGGUCAGACUCCUACGGGAGCAGCAGUCGGGAAUUUGGGCAAUGGGCGAAAGCCUGACCCAGCAACGCCGCGUGAAGGAUGAAAUCCCUCGGGAUGUAAACUUCGCAAGAACGGGAAAGAUAAGCGAGAGUAAAUAUCUUUCGCGAUGAACGGUACCGUUUGUAAGCUCCGGCUAACUCCGUGCCAG
rnacentral:rRNA from 1 species